rnacentral:ncRNA from 1 species
AGGGGUUGCGAACACCCCGUGAGGCUUAGGCCUAAGUUUCGC